AGUGAACGCUGGCGGUAGGCCUAACACAUGCAAGUCGAACGGCAGCACAGUAAGAGCUUGCUCUUACGGGUGGCGAGUGGCGGACGGGUGAGGAAUACAUCGGAAUCUACUUUUUCGUGGGGGAUAACGUAGGGAAACUUACGCUAAUACCGCAUACGACCUACGGGUGAAAGCAGGGGAUCUUCGGACCUUGCGCGAUUGAAUGAGCCGAUGUCGGAUUAGCUAGUUGGCGGGGUAAAGGCCCACCAAGGCGACGAUCCGUAGCUGGUCUGAGAGGAUGAUCAGCCACACUGGAACUGAGACACGGUCCGGACUCCUACGGGAGGCAGCAGUGGGGAAUAUUGGACAAUGGGCGCAAGCCUGAUCCAGCCAUACCGCGUGGGUGAAGAGGGCCUUCGGGUUGUAAAGCCCUUUUGUUGGGAAAGAAAAGCAGCAGGUUAAUACCCCGCUGUUCUGACGGUACCCAAAGAAUAAGCACCGGCUAACUUCGUG
rnacentral:rRNA from 1 species